rnacentral:rRNA from 1 species
AGUGAACGCUGGCGGCAGGCCUAACACAUGCAAGUCGAGCGGCAGCGCGGGGGCAACCCUGGCGGCGAGCGGCGGACGGGUGAGGAAUUCGUCGGAAUCUGCCUUUUUGUGGGGGAUAACGUAGGGAAACUUACGCUAAUACUGCAUACGUCCUACGGGAGCAAGUGGGGGACCGCAAGGCCUCACGCAGAAUGAUGAGCCGACGACCGAUUAGCUAGUUGGUGGGGUAAAGGCCCACCAAGGAGACGAUCGGUAGCUGGUCUGAGAGGAUGAUCAGCCACACGGGGACUGAGACACGGCCCAGACUCCUGCGGGAGGCAGCAGUGGGGAAUAUUAGACAAUGGGCGCAAGCCUGAUCCAGCCAUGCCGCGUGUGUGAAGAAGGCCUUCGGGUUGUAAAGCACUUUUGUCCGGAGAGAAAUCCCUGGAGCUAAUACCUUCGGGGGAUGACGGUACCGGGAGAAUAGGCACCGGCUAACUUCGUG